AACGCAAAUUGCGCUUGAGGCUUCGGCCAAGAGCAUGUCUGGCUCAGCGUCGGCUUACUACCCUCAAUCAAUUUCCUUAUGGAGCUUGGUUGGAGCUGGCUUUCCGGUUUUCCGACUAGGUUGCCGGUCAGCUGAAAAUCAUUCGCGCUGUGGGAGCUGCUUUCCCUUCAAAAGGAAAGCCGAGUUCCGAUUUGGUAGGUGACCUUUGCCGGUUGCAUGCCUUCGUUGCUCGCAAUGGCUUCCAUGAAAGCGUGUGCAGGACGCCUUUUGGCUUUCGACCUGAGCUCAGGCAAGAACACCCGCUGAACUUAA
rnacentral:misc_RNA from 1 species